GAUGAACGCUGACAGAAUGCUUAACACAUGCAAGUCAACUGGAAUUUGGGUUUUUAACUUAGGUUUGGGUGGCGGACGGGUGAGUAACGCGUAAAGAACUUGCCUCACAGCUAGGGACAACAUUUGGAAACGAAUGCUAAUACCUAAUAUUAUGAUAAUAGGGCAUCCUAUAAUUAUGAAAGCUAUAAGCGCUGUGAGAGAGCUUUGCGUCCCAUUAGCUAGUGGGAGAGGUAACGGCUCACCAAGGCGAUGAUGGGUAGCCGGCCUGGGAGGGUGAUCGGCCACAAGGGGACUGAGACACGGCCCUUACUCCUACGGGAGGCAGCAGUGGGGAAUAUUGGACAAUGGACCGAGAGUCUGAUCCAGCAAUUCUGUGUGCACGAUGAAGUUUUUCGGAAUGUAAAGUGCUUUCAGUUGGGAAGAAACAAAUGACGGUACCAACAGAAGAAGUGACGGCUAAAUACGUG
rnacentral:rRNA from 1 species